rnacentral:tRNA from 1 species
GGAGGUAUAGCUCAGUGGUAGAGCCCAUGCUUAGCAUGCAGAGGUCCUGGGUUCAAUCCCCAGUACCUCUU